rnacentral:rRNA from 1 species
AUGAACGCUGGCGGCGUGCCUAAUCCAUGCAGGUCGAGCGAACGGACGAGAAGCUUGCUUCUCUGAUGUUAGCGGCGGACGGGUGAGUAACACGUGGAUAACCUACCUAUAAGACUGGGAUAACUUCGGGAAACCGGAGCUAAUACCGGAUAAUAUUUUGAACCGCAUGGUUCAAAAGUGAAAGACGGUCUUGCUGUCACUUAUAGAUGGAUCCGCGCUGCAUUAGCUAGUUGGUAAGGUAACGGCUUACCAAGGCAACGAUGCAUAGCCGACCUCAGAGGGUGAUCGGCCACACUGGAACUGAGACACGGUCCAGGCUCCUACGGGAGGCAGCAGUAGGGAAUCUUCCGCAAUGGGCGAAAGCCUGACGGAGCAACGCCGCGUGAGUGAUGAAGGUCUUCGGAUCGUAAAACUCUGUUAUUAGGGAAGAACAUAUGUGUAAGUAACUGUGCACAUCUUGACGGUACCUAAUCAGAAAGCCACGGCUAACUACGUG